rnacentral:lncRNA from 1 species
CAUGUUGUGAUAUGAUAUGGCCAAAUGACAUGAUAAUGUAUAUUAGAUGUAUGAGACGAUCAUGUUGUAAUAGUUAAUAUCGACUUGUAUGUAGAUGCUACGACAACCGACACGAACCAUAGGGUUGUCUUUAAUUAUUGUAUGACCUGCGUGUCAAUCACUAAGCGCUAUGUAAUGCUUUACUUUAUCGCUAAAUGGUAGCAAUAGUAGUAGAAUCAUGGUUGGCGCGGCAAACUUGAUGGCAACAUGAUGAUGGAUAUCAUGAUGAUGGAGAUCAUGGUGUUGUGCCGACGACGAUGGAUAUCAUGACGGUGCUUUGGAGAUGGAGAUCAAAAGCACAAGAUCAUGGGCAUAUCAUGUCACUUAUGAUUUGCAUGUCACGUUAAUCCUUUUAUGCACCUUGUUUUGCUUAGGACGACGGUAGCAUUAUAAGGUGAUCCCUUACUAAAAGUUCAAGAUAAAAUUGUGUUCGCACCGAGUGUGCACCGUUGCGAAAGUUUGUCGUUUCGAAGCACCACGUGAUGAUCGGGUGUGAUAGACACUACGUUCACAUACAAUGGGUGCAAGACAAUUUUGCACAUGCGGAACACCG